rnacentral:rRNA from 1 species
GGGGAAUAUUGCACAAUGGAGGGAACUCUGAUGCAGCGACGCCGCGUGAACGAAGAAGGCUUUCGAGUCGUAAAGUUCUUUUAUAUGGGAAGAUAAUGACGGUACCAUAAGAAAAAGCCCCGGCUAACUACGUGCCAGCAGCCGCGGUAAUACGUAGGGGGCUAGCGUUGUCCGGAAUCACUGGGCGUAAAGGGUUCGCAGGCGGAAAUGCAAGUCAGAUGUAAAAGGCAGUAGCUUAACUACUGUAAGCAUUUGAAACUGCAUAUCUUGAGAAGAGUAGAGGUAAGUGGAAUUUUUAGUGUAGCGGUGAAAUGCGUAGAUAUUAAAAAGAAUACCGGUGGCGAAGGCGACUUACUGGGCUCAUUCUGACGCUGAGGAACGAAAGCGUGGGUAGCAAACAGGAUUAGAUACCCUGGUAGUCCACGCUGUAAACGAUGAGUGCUAGGUGUCGGCGAAUGUCGGUGCCGCAGUUAACACAAUAAGCACUCCGCCUGGGGAGUACGUGCGCAAGCAUG